UACAGAGGGUGCAAGCGUUAUCCGGAUUUACUGGGUUUAAAGGGUGCGUAGGCGGGCCUUUAAGUCAGUGGUGAAAUCUCCCCGCUCAACGGGGAAACUGCCAUUGAUACUAUUGGUCUUGAAUUUAGUUGAGGUGGGCGGAAUGUGUCGUGUAGCGGUGAAAUGCUUAGAUGUGACACAGAACACCGAUUGCGAAGGCAGCUCGCUAAACUAAUAUUGACGCUGAGGCACGAAAGCGUGGGGAUCAAACAGG
rnacentral:rRNA from 1 species